GUCGAAGCGGGACCUUUUAGCUACGCCAGGCGAGCCCGCCCUCUCGACGUGCUCGGUUCGCGACUGAAGCAGAAUACCAGUUCGCUUCAGUCACACGCGGCGAGCAGGCGAACGGUUUUGACUGAAAGGGUGUCUGUCGGUGAGUGCUGAAAAAAAAAAAACCCAAAACCUGCUCCUCUUUUGCAGUCUGCUGUAAAAAGCGAGCUCAGGCAGCUGUCAUGAGAGGAUGCCGUUUUCGUGGAGAGGUGCAGCCAAGGCGCCCCUACGGUAAAAAAAAACAUCGAACACGCUGCUCUCAAGGCGACAUAAACUAGAAUUUGUAGGUGUCAUUCUAUAGCUUGCCAGUUGGAGGAGGAGAAGCAUGGAGAUCAUCAGUUCAGCACCAAUGCUUAGCAUGCAGACUGCGAUGAAAGGCAUUUCUGUCAUCCCCGAGGAUCGAUACACUCUAAAAUAAAUAUCGUAAAUGAG